rnacentral:ncRNA from 1 species
GGAGGUUGGCCCUCCGGGAUCGCCCUGCAGGGGGAGGUCCCAAACCGCCGCACGCCGCUGCGGUUAAGGCCCGUGGUGGUGAGCAGUUGCGGAAAAGGCGCCUUCAGGCGUCAGGU